rnacentral:rRNA from 1 species
UACGGAGGAUGCGAGCGUUAUCCGGAUUUAUUGGGUUUAAAGGGUGCGUAGGCGGACGCUUAAGUCAGCGGUAAAUUGCGGGGCUCAACCUCGUCGAGCCGUUGAAACUGGGUGCCUUGAGUGGGCGAGAAGUACGCGGAAUGCGUGGUGUAGCGGUGAAAUGCAUAGAUAUCACGCAGAACUCCGAUUGCGAAGGCAGCGUACCGGCGCCCUACUGACGCUGAAGCACGAAGGCGUGGGUAUCGAACAGG